rnacentral:rRNA from 1 species
GUAGCUGGCCCCUCCAGGCAUGUGCACGCUCUCUUCCGGACUUUCGUCGUAUGGGCGCGGGGCGACCCGCGUCUUCAUAUACCUCUUCGUGUAGAAAGUCUUUGAAUGUCAAAAUCAUCAUCGAGUCGCGACUUCUAGGAGACGCGAUUCUUUGAGACAAAAGUUAUUACAACUUUCAGCAACGGAUCUCUUGGCUCUCGCAUCGAUGAAGAACGCAGCGAAUCGCGAUAUGUAAUGUGAAUUGCAGAUCUACAGUGAAUCAUCGAAUCUUUGAACGCACCUUGCGCUCCUCGGUGUUCCGAGGAGCAUGCCUGUUUGAGUGUCAGUAAAUUCUCAACCCCUCUCGAUUUGCUUCGAGAGGGCGCUUGGAUGGUGGAGGCUGCCGGAGAACCUGGAUUCGUUCAGGACUCGGGCUCCUCUGAAAUGAAUCGGCUUGCGGUCGACCUUCGACUUUGCAUGACAAGGCCUUUGGCGUGAUAAUGAUCGCCGUUCGCCGAAGUGCACGACAGAAC